UACAGAGGGUGCGAGCGUUAAUCGGAAUUACUGGGCGUAAAGCGUGCGUAGACGGUUAUUUAAGUCGGGUGUGAAAGCCCCGGGCUCAACCUGGGAAUUGCAUUCGAGACUGAAUAGCUAGGGUACGGUAGAGGGAAGCGGAAUUUCCGGUGUAGCGGUGAAAUGCGUAGAUAUCGGAAGGAACAUCAGUGGCGAAAGCGGCUUCCUGGACCAGUACCGACGUUCAGGCACGAAAGCCGUGGGGAGCAAACAGG
rnacentral:rRNA from 1 species